rnacentral:pre_miRNA from 1 species
AAUUAAAGAGAACUACUGCUGUUGAUGUACUUUAUUUGUAGUCAUAUAUCACAGUGGCUGUUCUUUUUCAUU